AUCCUAGAGUUUGAAGUUUCUGUAGGCACUUUACUUCUCCACUUUCAAAAGCUUGGGCUAGGGCCAAUUCAGGCUGCCCAAGCCUCUUUCUAUCACUAAUUUAACUCUAUGGCUUGAGUCUCAACACUGAAAACCAAUUCAUU
rfam:Rattus norvegicus chromosome 4, whole genome shotgun sequence.